UGAGAGUUUGCCACCAUUCAUAAAUAUAGAGAAAAGGGGGGAAAGAAGAAAAAUCAAGAAGAGGUGCGAAAACGAGCGAUUGAAGGCGACGCGAAAGCUGGGGGAAUUUAAUAAAGAGGAGAGAAUUCUAAGGUUCGUCUCACAUGAAUCGUGAAUUCGUGAUCUGAAUUCGAGAGAGGGGUCGCAGUUGUCUAUGCCUAUCUGUCGAUGUAUCUAAGCAUGCAUGCCCGUAUACACCUGCACCCAUAAAUGCUAGUAAAUGCUCAUGAACGUGGAUCCAUUCUUCCCCAAUACAGAGGUGUUAUGGUUCUAUCCAUCCAAGCGCACUCGCACGGCAGAGCACCGAAAAGCACAAAGGGCACAUCACUGAACUACUAAUUCGAUCACAAAAACAAUAAAAAUAAUGGAAUCCAGAGUCGUUCUCGGGCAUGUACAUGGAUGCAUGUGGAUCCAAAAGGUAUGAGAGUUGUUGUUGUUGUUGUUGUUGUGCGUGUGUAGAGGGCCUUCUUCUAGUGAAGUCCUUUGCGAGCAGGCUUGGUCGAUUGGCACACAGCUAAUCUAGAAAUCCAAGACCAUUUUUUGUUAUUGUUAGUCCAGAUCCGGAGGCAUUCUGGGGAAUGUGGGAUUCAUGCCAAGCAAGAGGAAAUUAGAGGCAUCCAAUUGGGUGACAGCUCCUGACAUUUAUUGGGAGUCAUGUCGCUGUAAAUUAUGUCGCUUUUCCAGUCCAGAGAGCCGCAUUUAUCUAAUUAGAAGACUUUCACAUGGAUGCAUGCUAUGCGCGUCCUGUAACUGGGGCGCCCAGUGGAGCCAGGACACCACAAAGUGGAAGCUUCUCUGCUGCGAUAACGCUUAUCAGCCUUGGAGAAAGCAAAGGACCACUGCUUCAACCCGACCCUCUUGAGCACCGCUGCGAAGCAGGGUGAUGCAGAUUACCUUUUCGGUGGAAUAAGUAAGGCGGUUGGCAAUUGAUGGUUCGAUGCUGUUCUCUUACUUCUGAUUGCGGUAAUAUAAAAUCCUUUUUUUUU